CAGUCGUACUAACGGGGAAUCAACCUUUUGAGGGUGGACUUGUGGGAUUCAGAGUGCCUUUGUUUUUCACAACCGGUCUUUUUUGUGUGUACUUUCUCGUAUUGUAGGUCAACAUCGGCUUCAACCGUUAUAAAAUGACUGGAGGAAUGUAGCUUCGAUCUCGUAUUGAAGUGUUAUAGCCUCUGGUAGAUGGUAACGGGAGGGAUCGAGGAUUGCAAUGAAUACCCUCAUGGGCUAUCCGCCUGGCCUCUG
rnacentral:rRNA from 1 species